CACGUAGGCGGAUUGUUAAGUCAGGGGUGAAAUCCUGGAGCUCAACUCCAGAACUGCCUUUGAUACUGGCGAUCUUGAGUCCGGGAGAGGUGAGUGGAACUGCGAGUGUAGAGGUGAAAUUCGUAGAUAUUCGCAAGAACACCAGUGGCGAAGGCGGCUCACUGGCCCGGUACUGACGCUGAGGUGCGAAAGCGUGGGAGCAAACA
rnacentral:rRNA from 1 species